rnacentral:lncRNA from 1 species
AAUAUUUUAUUAUUUAUAUCAACAAAUUGUGCUGACUCCAAAUAAUAUAAACAUACCCAUGGUAUAUAUAGCUACUAAUGAAAUUAUGUACAUACACGGGUACGUAUAUAUCCAAUAAUUUAUCCUGGGUUUUAGGUAGUAAAGAAAUUAUAUACAAAGCGGAUAUGUAUAUAUAUAUAUGAUAAUUUUCUUGUAGCCUUCUAGAUCUUCUCGUGAGGUUGUUGUCAAUGUUAUGAUCACAAGGGAUGCAACGCUGCCUUAUGAAUAUGAUGGUUUACAAUUUGUCGCCGAUGUUGUCACAAGGUCCAUUGCAUGACCAUCUAGCAAGGUAAUCACCAACAAUAUGUGUUUUGUCUACUUGGCUCAAAUUGUUUGACGUGUCAUACUGAUUCAUGAUCACUUUGGUAGAUGAAACCCUACAAGCCAAGGGCAUCUGCCUCCGUGUUAAUCUUGCCUGAGGUAUUCUCUUACAGAAAAUCAAACACCAACAGAUGACAGAUGCAUGUGAAACCUGUAGUCUGGACUUCCCUUUGAUUUUUAUGUCUCAUAUUCUUUCUCUCUUGCAGAUCUCUGAUGGUGGUGGAAAGACAACAUUUGUUUAUUUCAUUAUCGAUAAGAAAACGUGAGAACAUAUCUUUUCUUCAUCAUCAUUGUCAAAAGGCCGCUAGUACUUAGCUUCCUGUAGUUAUAACUAGACGAGUGUAGCAGUCAACAUAGGUAUUUCCCCUCAACAUAUGAUAUGGACCUAUGGUAUUUCCCCUCUAUAGGGACAUCGAUAUGUGAGAUUGACAAGGAAAAGAACACUUGAGGUAUUAUUCAUUUCAAUACCUUGAGCAUUUUGUAUUUAGUAAGGUGUCACUUGAUAGUGUUUAUUUCAGUAAGGUGCUAUGUUUGCCUUUUAAAGUUAGUCCCCGUCAAUACUUUCUCCUUUUCGGUUUGGACCAUGUCAGCCUGAAGAGAUGUUCUUUUUUUAUGAUCACUACGAAUAAAAGUGUGCAGAAUGAAUUCAGUUUGCAACUAGCCAUAUAACACAUGUGUUUGCUUCAGGUUGUGCAUUUUAGUCCAUUGUAGGAAUAAUUUCAUUGAGAACUCGCAACGGCAGGUUGAAGAACAUUUUGGAGCACAAGUAGGGGUAAGUUAUAGAGUGUAGAGGAGCAACGCUGCGUGCUUGGAGAUCACUCAUGGUUCGGAUUGUUUCCUAUUCAGAUUGAGGAACGUGUACUCGGCCCACCCUCAUUCCCAAUGAUUAGAUAGUUUGCAUUUAUAUGCAAAUUGUGUGAAUAAAUUUAUGUAUACGAAGGUAAAAAUGGGAUACUAAUAUUCAUUAUUGCACGGUUGUAAAUCUUUGAGACCUUGUAUUUGAUAUCUCCCCUUUGGCCUACAUGUGCAUGGUUGGAAUUGGUAUUUUUUGCGGAUGUGAAAAUGGUUAUUAUAGAACCGAGUUUAUUUUGUGUCUAAGUUUUGCCAAAGUCAAGAAAAUGAUUCAGAUCUUGCACCGCUUCAAGUUAGCAAGUAACAAAGUUUUCUUAUUCUGGGUUAGCACAAUU